rnacentral:rRNA from 1 species
UACAGAGGUCUCAAGCGUUGUUCGGAAUUACUGGGCGUAAAGCGUGCGCAGGCGGUUUGCUAAGUCAGGUGUGAAAUCCCCGGGCUUAACCUGGGAACUGCGCUUGUUACUGGCAAGCUGGAGUGUGGCAGAGGGGGGUGGAAUUCCACGUGUAGCAGUGAAAUGCGUAGAGAUGUGGAGGAACACCGAUGGCGAAGGCAGCCCCCUGGGCUAACACUGACGCUCAUGCACGAAAGCGUGGGGAGCAAACAGG